UACGGGGGGGGCAAGCGUUGUUCGGAAUUACUGGGCGUAAAGAGCGUGUAGGCGGCCACGCAGGUCCGUUGUGAAAACUGGAGGCUCAACCUCCAGCUGUCGACGGAAACCGUAUGGCUAGAGUCCGGAAGAGGAGAGUGGAAUUCCUGGUGUAGCGGUGAAAUGCGCAGAUAUCAGGAAGAACACCAAUAGCGAAGGCAGCUCGCUGGGACGGUACUGACGCUAAGGCGCGAAAGCGUGGGGAGCGAACAGG
rnacentral:rRNA from 1 species